GGCGUUCGGUGGAUGAGUAUGUGGGGAGUGUCACCGGUGGUAGACCUCUUGAUGUUGACGCAUCCAUUUUCCGGUAAUAACCGGUGCGAACAAGAGCAAGUUGUGUAAGUGUAUGAAUUGGAUUUCCGGUAAUAACCGGUGCGAACAAGAGCAGGUUGUCUAAGCGUAUGAAUUGGAUGCAUGACUGCAUGUGCAGUAUUCGAUUGUCGUGAAGAUGUUCAGGGACUCGUAUGA
rnacentral:lncRNA from 1 species